rnacentral:rRNA from 1 species
CACGUAGGGCGCGAGCGUUGUCCGGAAUUAUUGGGCGUAAAGAGCUCGUAGGCGGCCUGUUGCGUCCGCUGUGAAAGCCCGGGGCUUAACCCCGGGUCGGCAGUGGAUACGGGCAGGCUAGAGGUAGGUAGGGGAGAAUGGAAUUCCCGGUGUAGCGGUGAAAUGCGCAGAUAUCGGGAGGAACACCGGUGGCGAAGGCGGUUCUCUGGGCCUUACCUGACGCUGAGGAGCGAAAGCCAGGGGAGCAAACGGG